CUGUGCUCUUCUUGUGAUAGUGUGUGGGUCUCACAAGAUCUGAUGGUUUUAAAAUUGGGAGUUUCUCUGCACAAACCCUCUCUUUUCCUGCUGCCAUCCAGGUAAGAUGUGACUGGCUCCUUCUUGUCUUCCACCAUGAUUGUAUGGCCUUCCCAGCCAUGUGGAACCGAAAGAAGAAGCACAAUUUGAAAUACCAAGAAAAAAACCCUGAAAAACCAGAGAAGAAAGGUUUGGUUCAAAUGUGAAAUCAGCAAAAAUGUGGCCUGGUUUUGAGCAAUUGAUGGAAUGUAAGAAAAGAGAAUCCAUUUGACCUUCUCCUGGGAACAUUCUUCGAGAGAGAGUCAGCUAGCAACAUAUGAUCAUAUUUCCUUUUCAGUAGAUCUGAUUAUACUCUUUCUAUAGUGAUCAAUAAUUAUAUAAUCACAUUUACAUAGUUAUAACUAAAUGUUUGCUAGUUUCAAUUUUUAUAAUCAAAACGGAAGGCAAUUAUAGACUAGAAUGUGCGUCUAACGAUUGACACUGUGUACGUGAUGCUCAAGCUAGGGGAAUUCAAGUUGUGAGCAAGAAGGGGAAGGGCAAGUGUAGGUGCAACCUUCUUCAUUUGACUUUGGGAUGAGACAAGAGAUAUUGUGUAAAGGAGAUGGGACAAAAAUAAAGGAUUAUGUAUAUUAUUUAAAAAUAAAAA